CUCUUUCUCCUUUGACUCUGUAUAUGGAAGGAGAUGUGUUAUGUGUAACCGAGCCAAGAAUGGCCCAACUCUGCUCUCUGUACAUUUCCAAGCACCAAUAAGUCUAAUAGUUGUGCUUAUUCUGUGAUAAAUGACGAUAAGCACUGGCUGAGGAAGCUGUUGUCUGUGGAGACAGCAUCCGUGUGUCCACUGACUCCUGUUGUCUCUUACUCUGUGCUGAUGGCACGUGCCAAACCCCACGUUGUCUCAGUGCCAGCUGACCACAGGAUCCAUCCAGCCGACUGCUUUGCGGUGAUGAAUUGCUGUAUUUGCUGCUGGCUGCAUAUGGCAGUUAAAGUUUAAAAUGACUGCAGACAGAAGCACAAUUUAGCAUGGAAUUGAUUUUACAUCAUCUGGUUCCACUUGAUAUGAUAUUAAGGUAUUUAGAGAAUUGCAUCGUCAUCUUUUGCUGUGAAGUUGCAUUACGUUCUGCAGCCCUGGCUCACUUAAUAAUGCUUCAGUAACACAUGCUUAAUUGCUCAGCAAAUGACACCGCAUGUGAAGAAACAGUACCUAGAACAUGAUUUAUAUCUCUUCAGGCAAAGACGCUGAGAAUUGGAUCAUCUGCCUUCAUUAUUCUUAUGGGAG
ensembl:lncRNA